ACCGUGCCCUCCAGGCUGCGCUGUGCGCGCACCUGUGCUGGCCCCGCCCCACGCCCGUAAAUGGCGGCGGCUCCGCGCCCGCCCCGUGUCUUGCGGAGGCUCCUCGACCCGGGCUGCGGCGGGACCGGCGCUCGGAGCGGUGUGUGGAGAUCGGAUCGGGGCUGCUCCCGGCACCGUGCGGAGAUCGGAUCGGGGCUGCUCCCGGCGCCGUGCGGAGAUGGGAUCGGGGCUGCUCCCGGCGCCGUGCGGAGAUGGGAUCGGGGCUGCUCCCGGCGCCGUGCGGAGAUCCGGAUCGGGGCUGCUCCCGGCGCCGUUCGGAGAUCGGAUCGGGGCUGCUCCCGGCGCUGCGCGGUGUCCGAGGCGCUCAGGUGGGACUGGAACCGGGAUCUGGACCCGGGGAUUUGGGUUCCGGUCCCGCCGGUGUCUGCUGUGGGAGCCGGGCAGGGCCGCUCCUUCCUCGGCGGGCGGGGUGGGGGUGCCGGGGCCGGAGGAUCGAGGCGGGAUCGGGGCUGGGAUCGGGAGCGGCAGCGCCGCGGGCGGGAAGAGCCGCUCCGGGACGGGCGCUGCCACUCCGGCUGUGCCGGGGCCCCAUCGGUACCGCCGCCUCCGGCCCCGCGGGCGGACACGGAGCCGCCCCGCAGCCCCCGCGGGAUGCCGAGCCUCCCCCGCCCCGGUAGCCCCGUGGCCACCGCGCUCCCCUGCGAGCAGCAGCGCCCGCAGCCCCUUCCCCGUGUCCGCAUCCCCGGGGGAGCCCAGCCCCGCCGGACGAGCGGGGCUGCAGCGGCUCCGGGGUGGUCGCUGGGGCCGAGGCGUUGCUGCUCCUGCUCCAGUUGUGCCCGGUGUGGCGCUAGAGCUCUGCCAGGGCUCGCUCCUGCUCUGCCUGCUCGGCCAACACCUGCCCGCUGAGACCUGAUGCUCUCCUUCCUGUCCCCCACUUUCUCUGCAGCUCGCACUCUCCAGUGUUCAGAAGUGGGUGAAAACAAUUCUUUAUUUCCAGUACCUUGAGGCUCAUGGAGUUAAAUGAUGAGAAGCGACUGGCCCAGCUGCACAUUGAACACAGAAUUUUGGCCUUCUCAGCACCCUGCUCCAAGUGUCAAGGUCAUGACAAAGGUCACGGGUGGGAUAGGAAUGACUGCUUCCAGUAAGGAACUCCUAUACAAAUGCAGCUCCUUUUCUUCUUAUAAUGCUGCUUUACACACCAGCCCCUGCACUGGCUGUAGGGCAGAACUAGCUAGCACCUGACAUGACAGCACCAAACUCUUCCCCAUAACCCUGACUCUUCUACCCUUUCUAGGAUUUACCCAACAGCUGUAAAUUGCUUAUGCUAUGUUCCUUUGCAGGGAGAAGCAAAUGAGACAAGUCCUGAGGGUUACCUUGCUCCAUGGCCGAUGUUCUUUUGCAGAGCAGCAGGGGGCAUUGCCUGAAGGUGAGUGUUGUCAGGACUAAACGAUGGUGGCUGCUGAGGCCAGGGCUGCUUUUCUGGCCCAGAGGCCUCGGUGUCUCCCUCUCACUGCCAGCAAUGUUCCUUGGUGUUCCCUCAGUGUGUCCCAGCUGGCUGGGAGCGCAGGGCAGGAGAAGGCCAGAAACCCCUGGAAGGGAAGCAGCACCUCUUGUCCUUGGGAUAUGCAGGGGAGAAGCUGUGCCUGCACCAUGGCUCCUCAGCCAGGGGCUGCUCUGACCAGGCAUGGGGAGAUGCUUUGGUCUGGACAGAGACCACUGACAGCCCAGAAGCCCAAGGAGCAGCUGGCAUUACCUGGGAAUGGAGGUACAGGCUGCUUGUAGAGCAGCUCAGACAGCAAUUCCUGGUUCAGAGAUCCCACACAGCUGCCAGAUAUUAAAUGCCAACCAAUAGUCUCGGAGAUGCCCUAAAAUCAGAGGUUGGAGUGGGAUGACGUUUGGAAUUUUUCAGGGAGCCAGCUGGAAGUGCAGAAGUGAUGGAAAACUCGCAGUGAGAAGAACAUGAACUCACAGCCACCGAGGCCUGAGGGGUUCCUGCAGUGAGAGCUCAGUGCGUGUCCACAGAGGUGAGUGCAGCAUCUGAAAGGAAAAAACACAGGGGAAAAAUGUGAUUUAUUUUGCUUCAAAGUUAUUUCAAGUUCUUAAAGCCCAACCAACUUUUGCUGUUGAUUUUGGUUGGGUGGAACAUGAGCAGUGGGCAGAGGUCGUGCCAUUGGUGCAGACGUGCCUGAUGCCUUCUGGGGCAGAAAAAUUAGAUUAAGCUCACCUGGUGUCAAGCAGUUAUUAGAAAAGAUUUAUAGCUCUUGAAACAUAACACCCUUUAAUUACCAUAAUGUUUAUUCCAUGAUUUUAACUCAUUCUCAGUGUAUUUUAUAAAACUUAAAAUAACACCUCCUCAUAAACCAUUAGACCAAGAGUCCUACUGCCAGUCACACGCUUCCACAUCUAACAGCAGACCCUCCCCAUAACCAAACAAAAAAUCAAAAUAACGUGCCAAAAGUAGUCCUUACUAACAUUAAAAAUGCAACUCAACCGUAUCUAACAAAACCCCCAACUUUAUUUCCUCCAAACACCAAAUACUCUUCAAAUUCGGAAUGAAAAAUUCCUAAAAAAACAACAAAAACCAUCAAAACAUACUUCAAAUAUAGAAAAGCCUAACCAAAUAAAUAAAUAUUUCUCUAAGCCCGCCAAAAAUAUAAAACAAUCUAAUCAAUAGCCUACAUUAAAAAAAACCCACUAUACAAAUUUGUACCAUUCUAAAUAUAACAUAAAUAAAAAUGUUUUACUAAGAAACAUAUCUCCCUAUAAAUAAAAUAUAUAAGUAAUAAUCAUAACUCAACAAUCUAAAAUUUCUCAAAAACCAAAAUACUUUAGAAAGUCUUUAUAAAUAUAACAUUAAAUAAGUUACAUAUUAAUAAAAUCAAACAAAAUUAAUUUUCACUAUAUUUAAAUUAACUAUUCUUAAAUUUCAUUUUAUCACUUUAAUAUUCUAUUAAAAUUAAGUUAAUUAUUCCUUACUAUCAAAAUUCAUUCUAAAUUUAAAUGUUAUUUAAUAUAACUUCUCUUAAAUUGUAUUAAAAAUAAUUUCUCUAAACUAUAAAUAUAUGGUUAAUUUUCUUAAAAAAAUAAAGCAACUCCAAUUAAAACAACUAAAAUAAAACGCUAACAUCUAUUAAUAAGUAAAAGAAAUACAGUUUAUUACAUCAUAAAUUUCAUCAAAAAUUCUAUUCUUCAUUACAAUCUCUACUUUUUUUAUUUUUUAACACAUAAAAAAUAGUAAUUACUAUUAAGAUCAUGCUAUUUAAAAAUUUUUAUUCUAUUUCCUUAACUUAAAAAAAUAUUUACAUAUUAUCUUCUUCAAACUUACUACUAAUAUGCAAAGUAUAUAAAUCUAUUAUUUUUAUAAUAAACAUUAUUUAUAAAAUAUUAUAACAUUUUCAACCAAUUUUCAUAUACUUUACCAUCUCUUUAUAUAAUUAUCUAAGAAACAUAUAAAAUUUCUAAAUCCUACUUUUUUUAUUCUCCCUUCAUACAUCUAGUAUCUAGUCUCAUUUACAAACUCAUCCUUUAAAACUUGUUUCCAGUUCCAUUUCUCUCUCAACAAUGCCUGUCCUAUUCCAUGGCAUUUCUAACUCAGCAUUUCUUAUCUCAAAAUUUCCAUGCAGAUAGAUACUAUGUAAACCUUCUGUCAAACUCUGGCAAUUUUCUACAAGUCCAUUUCCCACAGCAGAGCUGCUCCCUGCCCAGCACAGGAGCUGCAAGUGCUGUUGCAGGGCACAAUGCCUGAAGGAACACUGGAGCUGUGACAUUAAAGCCAGCAAAAAGAAUUACUAAGUAAAAGAGAUCCUCACCUGCUCCAAGAACUGAACCUCUGUGGCUCAUCCUCACGGGGUGACCCUGCUCCAGGGAGGAAUCUCCACACAGCCCCGAGACCUGGGGUCAGACGCCGCCCUACCAGCAGAAGAACAAGGGGUUAGUGAAGCUUUUUGGACACAUUCUGUCCUCAGAGUGGUUUGACAAAACAUCGUCAAUGUGAUCUUUAAUAAAGGCAGCUUGCACCCA